rnacentral:lncRNA from 1 species
UUUGAGAAGCUGAAUUAUGCUUGUUAUACUAAGAAAAUGGGAGGAGCACAGGAGUGGUUAUCAGCAUGAGAAACAAGGAGAGAGAAAGAAUUGCUGUUUAUCAGCAUCCAUUCCAUGUCCUACUUCCUGCAGGCCCCAGCUCUCUUGACUGUCAAGGUCCUCAACCAAGCCAGUGGUAGACACAGCCUAGGGCUGUACGAGUUAUCCUCAGGCUGCAGAGCACAGAGGGAAAGGACCUGCUCAAGAGGCAGCAUCUGGAAGAAGCUAAAUCAAAUGCUGAACACGCUGCCCUUGUAGAGGGGCUAAGAUUUCAAAGCAAAGGCCUGCGAACGAAAUCUAAGAAACUCUCCGUGUCAAGAAAAUAUGUCUAACAGUUGAGUAUCAUGAAUGAGCUAGUCAGAGAAGAUCAUCCCUGCUGCACGCGUAGGGGAUUACCCAUCCAGGGAAAAAAGCACCUAACCGGGGGAAAUGCAGCAUGCCUCUGUGGAGCUGUCCCUUUAAGCACAGGUCAGUGAUCGGUGAAAGAAACUGGUCUGAGGAGCUGCUGGUCUAGGGGCUCAGGGUGAAGCUACCGAAAAAAUGGACCUCCUCUUGACUCAUGCAUGCCCUCCUGGACCUUUGGCCCUCUUCCUGAGCCCUGGAAGGCUUUCCCCCUAUUUCCAGGAUCUGUGAAUCAACAGAGCUGCAGAACCAGGAAUUCAGAGGGCUUCAUUCGCAGCCCCCUGGCCAUUUUUAGGGGCCUCUCACUGAGUGCAGUGAGUAGAUGGUCAAUAUUCCCACUCGUUUCUCAGGGAGGUGAUAUUUCAGUGCUACCCACAGGUGACCAAGGUGAGGCCCAGGCUGUGUGUUGGGUGCCUGGCUGCUGAUCUAUGUUAGUGAGAAUCAUGGGCUUCCUGUCACAAGGACUGUGCUGCUGUCAAUCUCUCUAACACCCAAGUCAUCAUUGUAAAGGAAAAAAUCACGCAUCGAGAAAGAGCACAUAAAUAGUUUGAGAAGACCAUCUGUGCCAUCCUGGCUGCCUAGGAGGCUUAAUGCGGUGUUUAUUGAAACAAACAUCUGCUGGGCAUAACCUUUCCUCGACAGACAAGGGGCAGGGGAGAGGGAAGGCAAAGCUUAGGAAUAACUCCAUUAUCUCAGCUCUAAUAGAGGAAAAUAUGUACAGGAGGAAAGGUCAACUUGUUGAAAGAAGCAGCUUUCAAUAUUAGUUUUCUUCUUUGCUCUUUUCCUAAUAUUUGACUUUUAUUGUUGACUUAAAACCUUUUUUUCCCACAAGAACUUCGCAGCAUACGUUUCUAAAUCAUAGCUAGUUAAUAAAAUUU